rnacentral:tRNA from 1 species
AGUUGGUCAGUAGAGCAUGAGACUCUUAAUCUCAGGAUUGUGGGUUCAAGUCCCACAUU